ACCUGGGUGGCUCAGUCAGGUUAAGCAUCUGACUUCGGCUCAGGUCAUGAUCUCAUGGUUUGUGGGUUCGAGCCCCACCUCGGACU
rnacentral:tRNA from 1 species